rnacentral:lncRNA from 1 species
GUUCUUCAUUUGCCUCUCAUUGUUGUAGCAUUCAUGUGUUGCGCAAGCUUGCAUCGGCGGGCUAGCUUUGAGGUUGAAACAACUCGGUCCUGCACUAGACAAUGUGCAGGGUUUAGCUGCUCUCAGCCAUCACAGGGGUGGAAUCUCAUACAGCUUAAGUUGCAAGUGCAAGCCAGUCUGAUUGUUUGGAUAUCUAUAACUCAAUUUUCGUAGUAAUUUGAGUUUUUUGUUGGGC